rnacentral:rRNA from 1 species
UUGAACGCUGGCGGCAUGCCUUACACAUGCAAGUCGAACGCGAAAGGGGGCAACCCUGAGUAGAGUGGCGAACGGGUGAGUAAUGCAUCGGAACGUGUCCUGUAGCGGGGGACAACCCCGAGAAAUCGGGGCUAAUACCGCAUACGUCCUACGGGAGAAAGUGGGGACCGCAAGGCCUCACACUAUAGGGGCGGCCGAUGCCGGAUUAGCUAGUUGGUGAGGUAAGAGCUCACCAAGGCAACGAUCCGUAGCUGGUCUGAGAGGAUGAUCAGCCACACUGGGACUGAGACACGGCCCAGACUCCUACGGGAGGCAGCAGUGGGGAAUUUUGGACAAUGGGCGCAAGCCUGAUCCAGCCAUGCCGCGUGAGUGAAGAAGGCCUUCGGGUUGUAAAGCUCUUUCAGACGGAAAGAAAACGCAUCGGUGAAUACCCGGUGUGGAUGACGGUACCGUAAGAAGAAGCACCGGCUAACUACGU